rnacentral:rRNA from 1 species
AUUGAACGCUGGCGGCAGGCUUAACACAUGCAAGUCGAACGAAGUGGCGAACGGGUGAGUAACGCGUAAUCAACCUGCCCUUCAGAGGGGGACAACAGUUGGAAACGACUGCUAAUACCGCAUACGGAAGGACGGGAUUGCGUCUGAUUAGCUAGUUGGAGGGGUAACGGCCCACCAAGGCGAUGAUCAGUAGCCGGUCUGAGAGGAGGAACGGCCACAUUGGGACUGAGACACGGCCCAGACUCCUACGGGAGGCAGCAGUGGGGAAUCUUCCGCAAUGGACGAAAGUCUGACGGAGCAACGCCGCGUGAGUGAUGACGGCCUUCGGGUUGUAAAGCUCUGUUAAUCGGGACGCGGUACCGGAAUAGAAAGCCACGGCUAACUACGUGCCAGCAGCCGCGGUAAUC